rnacentral:rRNA from 1 species
GACGAACCGAGCGAACGUUGUUCGGAAUCACUGGGCUUAAAGGGCGCGUAGGCGGGUGCUCAAGUCCGGGGUGAAAUCCUCCAGCUCAACUGGAGAACUGCCUCGGAUACUGGGUGCCUCGAGUGUGGUAGGGGUGUGCGGAACUAUCGGUGGAGCGGUGAAAUGCGUUGAUAUCGAUAGGAACUCCGGUGGCGAAGGCGGCACACUGGACCACAACUGACGCUGAGACGCGAAAGCGUGGGGAGCGAACAGG